UUUUUAGACAGAACUGUCUUCCUUCGAGACAUCAUAGUAGUUAAGAGUAUGGUCUCACUUUCCUUGAAGCAAAUGUCUAUUCAAGUUUCAUUUUGCUACUUCAUAACUGUUUGACUGUCAUCAAGUAGCUUUACUCUCUUUCAGUUUCCUCAAAUGUAAAAUGGGAGUAAAGACAGUUUAUACUUCACAGAAGUCUUAUGGAAAUUAAAUGAGUUAAUGCAUUGUUUGGUCAAAGAACUAUAAAUUUUUAAAACUAGAUGAUUUUAGGAAAUGUGUAAUUUUAGUAGUAAAAAUAUGUGUAUGCAAGCUAAUGUUGAAAAUUCACUAUGACAAUGACUUUUUUUUUAAUUUGUAGAGAUUAAAUGCCCUGGCUACAGUAGUUCGAGGCAGUCUACCUAAAUUGCACAGAAAUAUCAUAACUGCAUUGAUCACUAUUGAUGUGCAUGCAAGAGAUAUAGUCACUGAGCUUGUUAACAUGAAGGUAGACAAAGUUGAAUCCUUUGACUGGCAGAGACAACUGCGCUAUUAUUGGGAUGUAGACAUAGACAAUUGUGUGGCUAGAAUGGCACUAUCUCAGUACACUUAUGGCUAUGAAUAUUUGGGAGCAUGCCCAAGAUUGGUUAUUACUCCUCUCACGGAUCGCUGCUAUCUUUGCCUCAUGGGGGCUUUGCAGCUUGACCUAGGAGGUGCACCAGCUGGUCCUGCUGGCACUGGAAAAACAGAGACCACCAAAGACCUAGCAAAAGCUCUUGCCAUCCAGUGUGUGGUCUUUAACUGUUCUGAUGGUUUGGACUACAAGAUGAUGGGGCGCUUCUUUAGUGGUUUGGCCCAGUCAGGAGCCUGGUGCUGCUUCGAUGAAUUUAAUCGAAUAGACAUAGAAGUUUUGUCAGUGAUUGCACAGCAACUCAUCACCAUUAGGAAUGCCAAAGCCGCAAAACUCUCUAGAUUCAUGUUUGAGGGAAGAGAAAUAAAGUUGGUUAUGACUUGUGCAGCCUUCAUCACAAUGAAUCCUGGAUAUGCUGGCAGAACCGAGUUGCCAGAUAAUUUGAAGGCUCUAUUUAGACCAAUGGCAAUGAUGGUUCCAAAUUAUGCUUUGAUUGCAGAGGUAAUCCUAUAUUCUGAAGGAUUUGAAUCCAGUAAAACAUUAGCAAGAAAAAUGACCCAGAUGUAUAAGCUUUGCAGUGAACAGCUCUCUCAACAGGAUCACUAUGAUUUUGGCAUGAGAGCUGUGAAGUCUGUAUUGGUCAUGGCUGGGUCUUUAAAAAGAGAGAACCCAGACCUAAGCGAAGAUGUGGUUUUGAUAAGAGCUUUACGAGACUCCAACUUGCCAAAAUUUCUAACAGAUGAUGCUAUUCUGUUCAGUGGAAUCAUAUCCGAUCUUUUUCCUGGAGUCCAAAUUCCAGAACAUGACUAUGGUAUUUUGCAGUCAACAAUUGUGGAUGUCAUGAAUGGAAAAAACCUUCAGCCUGAAAUCUGUAUGGUUGAAAAAGUGAUACAGUUCUAUGAAACUAUGCUUGUGAGGCAUGGUGUUAUGUUAGUUGGGCCAACAGGAGGUGGCAAGACCACAGUUUACCAAAUACUAGCAGAAACUUUAGGGAAUUUACGAAAACUUGAUUUAGGCAAUCCUUUUUAUCAAGCAGUUAAAACGUAUGUUCUUAAUCCUAAAUCAAUCAUGAUGGGUGAAUUAUAUGGUGAAGUUAAUAACAUAACCUUAGAAUGGAAAGAUGGUUUGAUGGCACUAAGUGUCCGAGCAGCUGUGAAUGAUACUUCAGAAGACCAUAAAUGGAUCAUCAGUGAUGGACCAGUGGAUGCUCUUUGGAUUGAAAACUUAAAUACAGUAUUGGAUGAUAACAAGAUGCUUUGCCUGGCUAACAGUGAAAGGAUUAAACUCACACCUCAGAUCCACAUGCUCUUUGAGGUGCAAGAUCUAAAGGUUGCCUCUCCUGCAACAGUCAGUCGAUGUGGAAUGGUGUUUGUGGAUCCCGAAGAACUAAAAUGGAUGCCUUAUGUUAAAACAUGGAUGAAGCGGGUUUCUAAAAAGCUGAAUGAGGAAGCCCAAGAAUAUAUAUUGAACCUUUUCCAACGUUAUGUUGAUGAAGGUUUACAUUUUAUCAACAAAAAGUGCACCCAAGCAAUCCCACAAGUGGACAUCAGCAAAGUUACUACCCUCUGUUGCUUAUUAGAGUCUUUGAUAUUGGGAAAAGAUGGAAUUAACUUGACAAUGGAACAAGUGAAAUUGAACACUGUGCUAUGCCAGACAUUUGUAUUCUGUUACUUAUGGUCUUUGGGUGGAAACCUAAAUGAAAAUCAUUGGGAUUCUUUUGAUACAUUUAUCAGAACACAAUUUGAUGAUAACCCUGAUGCCAGACUUCCGAGUUCUGGUGAUCUUUGGAGCAUUCAUGUGGACUUUGACACUAAACGGAUGGAUCCCUGGGAACGAAUUAUACCUACUUUCAAGUACAGCCGAGAUAUUCCGUUUUUUGAAAUGCUUGUCCCCACAACAGACACAGUGCGCUUUGGGUAUCUAAUGGAAAAACUACUUGCAGUCAAACAUUCAGUUUUGUUUACUGGAAUAACUGGAGUUGGCAAGACCGUUAUUGCCAAAGGAUUGCUAACUAGAAUUCAGGAAUCUGCUGGCUAUGUCCCUGUUUAUCUAAAUUUUUCUGCCCAAACUUCAUCUGCAAGGACACAAGAGAUCAUUGAAUCAAAACUGGAAAAAAAAAGAAAAAAUAUUCUAGGGGCACCAGGAAAUAAGCAAGUUAUAAUUUUUGUUGACGACUUAAAUAUGCCUAGACUGGAUCGCUAUGGCUCUCAGCCUCCCAUUGAAUUACUUCGCCAGUAUCAAGAUUUUGGUGGAUUUUAUGACAGAAACAAACUCUUUUGGAAAGAUAUACAGGAUGUAACAAUCGUAUCAGCAUGUGCACCUCCAGGAGGUGGUCGCAAUCCUGUGACCCCUCGUUUCAUCCGACACUUCAGCAUGCUGUGCCUCCCGAUGCCCUCAGAGCACAGUCUGAAACAUAUUUUUUAUGCCAUCUUAAAUGGCUUCCUACUUGACUUUCCACAAGCUGUAAAGCAAACCGCAUCAAGCAUCGUAGAAGCUUCAGUUGAGAUUUAUAACAGAAUGAGUAUUGAUCUCCUGCCAACACCAGCAAAGUCCCACUAUGUCUUUAAUUUGAGGGAUUUAUCCAAAUGUGUGCAAGGCAUCCUCCAGUGUGACUCAGGAACAAUAAGAGAAGAAAUGCAGAUAUUUAGACUCUUUUGCCAUGAAUGUCAAAGAGUCUUCCAUGAUCGUUUGAUUAAUAAUGAAGAUAAACACUAUUUCUACGUUAUUUUAACAGAAAUGGCCAACAAACAUUUUGGCAUUGCAAUAGGCCUGGAAUAUUUUUUGGUUAAGCCCAUCAUAUUUGGAGAUUUCAUUAAGUUUGGAGCAGAUAGAGCUGAUCGGAUUUAUGAUGAUAUGCCUGAUAUGGAGAAAAUUGCAAAUGUUCUUCAGGAUUAUCUUGAUGAUUAUAACCUUAUAAACCCCAAAGAAGUAAAGUUGGUGUUUUUCCAGGAUGCCAUAGAACAUGUUUCAAGGAUUGCCCGGAUGAUCCGUCAGGAAAGAGGCAAUGCCCUGCUUGUGGGAGUAGGAGGCACAGGAAAGCAGUCUCUUACAAGACUUGCAGCUCAUAUAUGUGGUCACAAAUGUUUGCAGAUCGAACUUAGCCGUGGAUAUAACUAUGAUACUUUUCAUGAUGACCUGAGGAGGUUGUACAAAUUGGCUGGUGUAGAGGACAAAAAUAUGGUUUUUCUUUUCACAGACACCCAGAUUGUAGUGGAGGAAUUCCUAGAAGAUAUAAAUAACAUCCUGAAUUCGGGUGAAGUGCCUAAUCUAUUUGAAAAGGAUGAACUGGAGCAGGUGUUAGCAGCCACCAGGCCAAAAGCAAAAGAAGUUGGAAUUUCCGAGGGGAACAGAGAUGAAGUGUUUCAGUACUUUAUCAGCAGAGUUCGUCAAAAACUGCACAUUGUUCUUUGCAUGAGCCCAGUUGGAGAGGCGUUUCGGUCCCGAUGCCGGAUGUUCCCAUCUCUUGUGAACUGCUGCACAAUUGACUGGUUUGUCCAGUGGCCCAGAGAAGCGCUUCUUUCUGUGUCAAAGACAUUUUUCUCAACUGUUGACACUGGAAAUGACAAACUGAAAGAAAAGCUUUCCCUCAUGUGUGUCAAUGUUCACUUGAGUGUCUCCCAAACAGCAGACCGCUAUUACACUGAGCUCCGCCGGCGGUACUACACGACGCCCACUUCCUACCUAGAGCUCAUCAAUCUCUACCUGACUAUGUUGACUGAGAAAAAGAAGCAGUUAAUUUCAGCAAGAGAUCGGGUGAAGAAUGGUCUCACGAAGCUACUACAAACAAAUAUACUGGUAGAUAAUAUGAAAUUAGAACUUUCAGCUCUAGAACCUGUGCUUUUGAAAAAAUCACAAGAUGUUGAAACCCUGAUGGAAAAAUUGGCAGUCGAUCAAGAAAGUGCUGAUCAGGUCCGUAACGUUGUGCGAGAAGAUGAAGCAAUAGCAAAAGUGAAAGCUCAAGAAACCCAAGCAAUAGCUGAUGAUGCUCAGAGAGACCUCGAAGAAGCAUUGCCUGCACUUGACGCUGCCAAUAGAGCACUGGAUUCCUUAGAUAAAGCAGAUAUAGCUGAAAUCAGGGUUUUUACAAAGCCCCCAGAUAUGGUCAUGACUGUAAUGGAAGCAAUCUCCAUUCUCUUGAAUGCCAAGCCUGAUUGGCCCACAGCAAAGCAACUUCUUGGCGAAUCUAACUUUCUAAGAAGGCUUUUAGAAUAUGAUAAGGAAAACAUAAAGCCUCAAAUAAUAGCAAAGCUUCAAAAGUAUAUUAAUAAUCCUGAUUUUCUUCCUGAAAAAGUAGAGAAAGUAUCCAAAGCAUGUAAAUCCAUGUGCAUGUGGGUAAGAGCGAUGGAUUUGUACUUUCGAGUAGUCAAGGAAGUGGAACCAAAGAGACAAAAACUCCGUGCUGCCCAGGCUGAACUUGAUGUUACAAUAGCUACCCUAAAAGAAAAGCAAGCAUUAUUAAGACAAGUGGAGGAUCAAAUACGAGCCUUACAAGAUGAAUAUGACAAAGGUGUGAAUGAAAAAGAAAGUUUGGCAAAGAAUAUGGCCCUGACAAAAGCACGCCUGUUACGUGCUGGAAAGCUGACAGCUGCGUUAGGAGAUGAACAGGUUCGAUGGGAAGAAAGCAUAGAGAAAUUUCAGGAGGAGAUAUCGAACAUCAUUGGGAACGUGUUUAUAGCAGCGGCUUGUGUGGCUUAUUAUGGGGCUUUCACAGCCCAGUUCAGGCAAUCACUUAUAGAGUGUUGGAUCCAGGACUGCCAGUCUCUGGACAUCCCAAUUGAUCCUUCCUUCAGUCUCAUUAACAUACUUGGAGAUCCCUAUGAAAUACGGCAAUGGAACGCUGAUGGGCUGCCACGUGACAUGAUAUCAACAGAAAAUGGCAUUUUGGUUACUCAUGGGAGACGGUGGCCUUUGAUGAUUGAUCCCCAAGAUCAGGCAAACCGUUGGAUAAGAAACAAGGAAAACAAAAGUGGUUUAAAGAUCAUUAAGCUUACAGAUAGUAAUUUCUUACGAAUUCUUGAAAAUUCCAUCCGACUUGGCUUACCUGUCUUACUGGAAGAGCUCAAAGAAACCUUGGAUCCAUCUCUAGAACCUAUUCUUUUGAAACAAACUUUCAUCAGUGGUGGACGAGUACUCAUUCGCCUUGGAGACUCAGAUAUUGAUUAUGACAGAAACUUCAGGUUCUAUAUGACAACCAAGAUGCCAAAUCCUCACUAUCUGCCUGAGGUGUGUAUUAAAGUUACCAUCAUCAAUUUCACUGUAACCAAAUCAGGUCUGGAGGAUCAGUUGUUAAGUGAUGUCGUACGACUUGAAAGACCCGAAUUGGAACAUCAGAGAGUCCAGCUUAUUGUAAGGAUCAACAGUGAUAAAAACCAGUUAAAGUCUAUUGAAGACAAGAUCUUAAGAAUGCUCUUUACAUCUGAAGGAAAUAUUCUCGACAAUGAAGAACUUAUUGAUGCACUCCAGGACUCAAAGAUCACUUCCGGUGCCAUUAAAACCAGGCUGAAAGAAGCAGAGUCCACUGAGCUGAUGAUCAAUGCUGCUCGUGAGAAGUAUCGUCCAGUAGCCACUCAAGGCUCUGUUAUGUACUUUGUUAUUGCAAGUCUCUCAGAAAUAGAUCCUAUGUAUCAGUAUUCAUUAAAAUAUUUUAAGCAGUUGUUCAAUACAACAAUAGAAACUUCUGUGAAGACAGAUGAUCUACAGCAUCGCCUGCAAAUACUACUGGAACAAACUCUCCUAACUGCUUAUGUCAAUGUUUCAAGAGGUCUUUUUGAACAACAUAAGCUCAUCUAUAGCUUUAUGCUCUGUGUUGAGAUCAUGCGUCAGCAAGAAUUGCUAACUGAAGCUGAAUGGAAUUUCUUUCUCCGAGGUUCUGCAGGACUGGAAAAGGAUCGCCCUCCUAAGCCUGAAGUUCCCUGGUUAUCUACUGCCAUGUGGUUUGCAUGCUGUGACUUAGAAGAGUCAUUUCCAGUUUUUCAAGGAAUUACACAAUAUAUAUUUUUGCAACCUAUUUUCAUAUGCUUAGGAUCUUUUAAGACUUAUAUUAACUCAAGCCAGUUGGAAGACUAUUUUGAAUUUCAAAAGGAAGACCAAUCCAUGAGAGAAAAGGAGGCCAUACUCCUGGAAUAUUGGAUCUCAGAAUUGAGUUCUUUCCACAAACUAAUUCUUAUUAAAUGUUGCAAAGAAGAAAAGGUGGUUUUUGCUCUUACAGAAUUUGUGAUAGAAAAUCUUGGAAAACAGUUUAUAGAGCCACCACCUGUGGACCUGCCUACCCUAUACCAAGACAUGUCAUAUAACACCCCCCUGGUGUUCAUCUUAAGCACAGGCUCAGAUCCCAUGGGUGCAUUUCAGAGGUUCGCCCGGGAUAGCGGGUAUUCAGAACGAGUGCAGUCAAUUUCACUAGGACAAGGACAAGGACCCAUUGCUGAGAAAAUGAUCAAGGAUGCAAUGAAAUCAGGAAACUGGGUAUUUUUGCAAAACUGCCAUCUUGCUGUUUCUUGGAUGUUAGCCAUGGAAGAGCUAAUUAAAUCCUUCAUAGAUCCAACUCAUGCUAUCAAGGACACUUUUCGACUUUUUCUAAGCUCUAUGCCUAGUACUACAUUUCCUGUUACAGUUCUUCAGAAUUCUGUCAAGGUAACCAAUGAGCCUCCCAAAGGGUUACGUGCAAAUAUCAGGCGAGCAUUUACUGAAAUGACACCUUCAUUUUUCGAAGAAAAUAUCCUUGGAAGAAAAUGGAGACAGAUGAUAUUUGGCCUUUGUUUCUUUCAUGCAAUUAUUCAGGAGAGAAAGAAGUUUGGGCCCCUUGGAUGGAAUAUAUGCUAUGAAUUUAAUGACAGUGAUAGGGAAUGUGCUCUACUGAACCUCAACCUUUAUUGCCAAGAUGGGAAGAUUCCCUGGGAUGCACUGAUUUACAUUACUGGUGAAAUUACUUAUGGAGGUAGAGUUACAGACACAUGGGAUCAAAGAUGCCUUCGUACUGUCUUGAAAAGAUUUUUUUCUCCAGAAACAUUACAAGAUAGUUAUCAAUAUUCUGAAUCAGGCAUAUACUUUGCACCAUUGGCUGAUAACUUACAAGAAUUUAAGGACUACAUUGAAAAUCUGCCUUUGAUAGAUGACCCAGAAAUUUUUGGAAUGCAUGAAAAUGCCAACCUGGCUUACCAGUACAAAGAAACCAACACUUUAAUCAAUACCAUACUUGAUGUUCAGCCAAGAUCAUCUGCUGGUGGACAAGGAAAAAGCAAUGAUGAAAUUGUCCAAGAGCUUGUUUCUUCUGUCUGGACCAGAGUUCCAGAAACACUGGAAAUGGAGGGUGCUUCUGAGAGCCUUUUCUUUAAAGAUCAUCAAGGACGCCUGAACUCCUUAACCACCGUUCUUGGCCAGGAAGUGGACCGGUUUAACAAUCUACUAAAGUUAAUACAUACUUCCCUAGAUACACUCAACAAAGCCAUUGCUGGAUUAGUGGUGAUGUCUGAAGAAAUGGAAAAGGUGUACAACAGUUUCCUUAACAAUCAGGUUCCUUCUCUGUGGUCCAACACAGCAUAUCCAUCUCUGAAGCCACUAGGAUCAUGGGUCAAAGACCUUAUUCUGAGGAUUGCAUUUAUGGAUUUGUGGCUCAGAAGAGGACAGCCCAAAUCCUUCUGGAUCUCUGGUUUCUUCUUUCCUCAAGGAUUUCUAACAGGAACUCUUCAAAACCAUGCUCGGAAAUACAAUUUGCCUAUAGAUGAGCUGAGUUUCAAGUACAACAUUAUUCCUUCCUACCGAGAUCAGGCUGCAGUAAUAGAAGCUGCCAAGACGAUACAGUUUGGACACGAACUGCCCAUGGACCUAGAGUUGCCUUCUCCUGAGGAUGGUGUUCUUGUUCAUGGGAUGUUCAUGGAUGCUUCUCGAUGGGAUGAUGAGGCGAUGAUUAUAGAAGAUGCCUUGCCUGGACAGAUGAAUCCAAUGCUGCCUGUUGUGCAUUUUGAACCACAACAAAACUAUGAGCCAGACCCAACACUUUACCACUCCCCACUCUAUAAAACAGGGGCCCGGGCAGGAACACUCUCAACUACAGGCCAUUCAACCAACUUUGUGGUGACUAUCCUUUUACCCUCCAAUCGGUCUAAAGACUACUGGAUUGCUAAGGGAUCAGCUUUGCUCUGCCAACUGAAUGAGUGAACAAAUGCCACAUUAGUCCAGAGGUCUUCCCUGAUGGAGGGGAAAGUUUGACCAAUUUACAUUGGAGCAAAAUGAUGUUACUUCUGAUUUGACUUAAGGUAGUAAUAAACCUCGCUACCACAAUGGGUGGCUGAAGGCUGGACCUAGGAGGAGCCAUCCUGGAGCUGGUUUAAAGGUAAU